GAUGUUGAGUGUCAAACUGUAUGUUUUGUGGGUUGUAUAGUUUGAUACACAGCACAUGA
rnacentral:pre_miRNA from 1 species